CCUACGGGUGACAGCAGUAGGGAAUCUUCCUCAAUGGGCGAAACUCUGAAGCAGCAACGCCGCGUGAAUGAUGAAGGUUUUCUGCUUGUAAACUCCUUUUGUUAGAGAAGAUAAUUACGGUAUCUAACUGGUCUUCACCGGCUAACUCCGUCCUAGCAACCCCGGUCAUACGGAGGGUGCACACGUUACUCGGAAUUACUGGGCGUAACGAGAGCGUGGGCGGGAUAGCAAGGCAGAUGUGAAAUCCUAUGGCUUAACCAGAGAACUGAAUUUGAAACUGUUCUUCUAGAGUAUGGGAGAGGUAGGUGGAACUCUAGGUGUAGGGGUAAAAUCCGUAGAGAUCAAGAGGAAUACUCAUGGCGAAGGCGACCUGCUAGAACAUAACUGACGCUGAUGCGCGAAAGCGUGGGGAGCAAACAGGAUUAGAUACCCGAGUAGUC
rnacentral:rRNA from 1 species